rnacentral:rRNA from 1 species
UACGGAGGGUGCAAGCGUUGUCCGGAUUUAUUGGGUUUAAAGGGUGCGUAGGUGGCUUCGUAAGUCUGACCUGAAAGUGGGCCGCUUAACGGCACAGGGUGGUUGGAUACUGCGGAGCUUGAAGAGGGUGGAGGCCGCCGGAACGGAUCGUGUAGCGGUGAAAUGCAUAGAGAUGAUCCAGAACCCCGAUUGCGUAGGCAGGCGGCUACGCCCCACUUGACACUGAGGCACGGAGAGCAUGGGGAGCAAACAGG